rnacentral:rRNA from 1 species
GUACACGCUGUGACUAGCAUAUCAAUAAGCGGAGGAAAAGAAACUAACAAGGAUUCCCCUAGUAACGGCGAGUGAAGCGGGAAGAGCUCAAAUUUGAAAUCUUAAAGGGUUUCCCUUUACGAAUUGUAGUUUAAAGAAGUGUUUUCUGUUGAGGUUUUGGUAAAAGUUCUUUGGAAUAGGACAUCAUAGAGGGUGAGAAUCCCGUAUUUGACCUUUACUUUCAACUUUGUGAUACACUUUCAAAGAGUCGGAUUGUUUGGGAAUGCAGUCCAAAAUGGGUGGUAAAUUUCAUCUAAAGCUAAAUAUUGGCGAGAGACCGAUAGCGAACAAGUACCGUGAGGGAAAGAUGAAAAGAACUUUGAAAAGAGAGUUAAACAGUAACGUGAAAUUGUCAAAAGGGAAGCGUUUGACACCAGUGUUGUUUUUUCUGAAAAUCAAUUAAAGAACUGUUUAUGCUAAGUUGUUUAGACUUUAUCAGCUAUCUGUUUAGUUUUGAGCUUUUCUUUAAUGCACUUUUCAGUUAACAAGUCAACAUCAAUUUCUUUUGCUGUAAAAAAGCUUGAGGAAGGUGGCUUGAGAUUCGUCUUAAGUGUUUAUAGCCUCUUGCCUAUGCAGUCGGAGAGAUUGAGGUCUGCAGCGUAGAUCCUUCGGGGCUAAUUGCAUUUGUGCUAAGUUAUAGCAUUUUAUAGACAACUUGUUGACUAUGAUUUGUCUUGUAGCUUACUCGCUUAUGCUAUUUUACCUACGCUUAGGAUGUUGACGCAUGAGAUAUACGC